rnacentral:rRNA from 1 species
UACGUAGGUUCCGAGCGUUGUCCGGAUUUAUUGGGCGUAAAGCGAGCGCAGGCGGUUAGAUAAGUCUGAAGUUAAAGGCUGUGGCUUAACCAUAGUACGCUUUGGAAACUGUUUAACUUGAGUGCAAGAGGGGAGAGUGGAAUUCCAUGUGUAGCGGUGAAAUGCGUAGAUAUAUGGAGGAACACCGGUGGCGAAAGCGGCUCUCUGGCUUGUAACUGACGCUGAGGCUCGAAAGCGUGGGGAGC